AGCAGCCGCGGUAAUUCCAGCUCCAAUAGCGUAUAUUAAAGUUGCUGCAGUUAAAAAGCUCGUAGUUGAAUUUCGGGACCAUCAUGUCGGUCGUGCCUCGGUACGUACUGGCAUUGUUGGUUUCUUCCUUCUGACGAACCAUGAUGUCAUUUAUUUGGUGUCGUGGGAAAUCAGGACUGUUACUUUGAAAAAUUAGAGUGUUUAAAGCAGGCUCACGCUUGAAUACAUUAGCAUGGAAUAAUGAAAUAGGAUGUUUGAUUCUAUUUUGUUGGUUUUUAGGAUCGACGUAAUGAUUAAUAGGGAUAGUUGGGGGCAUUAGUAUUCAAUUGUCAGAGGUGAAAUUCUUGGAUUUAUUGAAGACUAACUACUGCGAAAGCAUUUGCCAAGGGUGUUUUCAUUAAUCAAGAACGAAAGUUAGGGGAUCGAAGACGAUCAGAUACCGUCGUAGUCUUAACCAUAAACUAUGCCGACUAGGGAUCGGAUGAUGUUUAAUUUUUUAAUGACUCAUUCGGCGUUCUUA
rnacentral:rRNA from 1 species